GAAAAAAUGCUUUAGAGCAGUGAGAAAACGCACUCCAGAGGAAGAGGAGGAAGAAUCCAAGGUAAAAUGCAAGAACUGUGGAGCCUUCGGUCACAUGGCAAUGAGUAACAUGUGUCCCAUGGAACGCUGGGAUGAAGCCCUUCCUGUCCAAUUUCUGGGGUCAAACAAGGAGAAGGAGAAACUGAAAACAGUGCAGGCCCAGCAGCUCCAGACUCCAGGAAUAUUUAAAAAUACUGAGGGAGAGGAGAAAGAACAAAAAAUGCAAGAAGUGAUACCAAGGAAAACUCUAACACAGAAAUAUCCUAGAAGGUCUCCAAAGAAGAGGCCGAGGAGCUUGGUAGAACAAGAAGAAAUUUCUUAUUUUUUGAGGAAACCUACGAGACCAUCACUUAUUUACCUGACCAAGAAGAAAACUUCAUUGGAUCCUAUCUGAUUGGUCUCCCACUAGUCAAGACAUCUGAUAUGAGAACAACUACCCCCUCAUGUUUUUACAAAAAUAAGAACAAGAAGAGAACACUUAUGGAUUAGUGGAAGCACAUGAUAUUGGAUUCUCAGACACCCUGGAAUCCAUUUGGAUGAACUUCCAGGAUUCUUCCCCAGGAUAAAAAUCACAAGGAUGUGUUGUUUCCCUCAAGUGUGCUCUUCAGCCUGAUUGGAAGAUACCUUAUUCAGCACAUGACAUUAAUGUCCAGACAAAUAUGAAUCAUCCUGGUACAGCUCCAACUUCCUGUGUAUUAUAUGUGAUACCAAGUGUGGCCAGGACUGUGAAGUCGGAAUUCAGGCUCCAGGAAAGAAACCUCUCCAAUUGACCAGCCAGGAGAACCAG
rnacentral:lncRNA from 1 species